rnacentral:lncRNA from 1 species
ACCUGCGUGUCAACCUUAAGUAAUGCACUUAUUUUAUUGGCUAUAGAGAUAGCAAUAUUAUCUGGCGCAUCGACAAGGUGGUGGCAAUCUUCGCGAAGGUGAACACCGACGCGAAUGCCGAAGACGAAGAAAUGAAAGACUUCUCCGUCAAAAAGGGCUAUACCAUAUCAUGCUAUUAUGAAUUGCCUGAGAUGUUUAUCCCUUAUGAUGCACCCUUCUUGAUUGCGCGGUAGUCGCUUUUUGUUAGGGUGAUCUCUCACUAAAAUAUCAAGUAGUUAGUGUUCUCCCAAGUGUAGCACCGUCACGACACCUAUCUUUUCGGGGUGCGCCAUGGAUGCAUGGGUACGAACGAUUAGAGAAGUGUGAGGCGGGUGAGGUCAGACCUCGCAGCAAGAUCACUUGGUUGUCUUGACGUUCAGGCAGGAUCGUCCUGAGCUCGGAAGACACGCAUCGAAAGAUGAGCAAGAGUCACAUAGAGAUGUGAUCGGCAAGUUGGCCUACCGAUUAAAAUUCCUGUUAUGAUAUGAUGAUUCUAUGUCGAUGAAUUGAAGUCUGGAUCUUGUAUCACUCAAAAUUAAUUAUGAGAGAUAUUGAUUUGAGUGGGAGCGCACUGUUGAAUUAACAUGUUUAAAUCUCAGUGCAAUUAAUUAUGAACACUGUCUAAGUGUUUCUUGCAAAAUAGUUGUAAAAUAAUGGCUCGCGAUUCCACUUUCCCUGUUAAAAUUGAAUAGCUGUUAAAUAUCUGGUUAAAACUUUACGAUUGGUAACGUAAUAUGAGGAUUGUCCUCAAAAGUGCCGAGAAGGACUUUGUCCUAUCGCAUGCUUUCCGUAUCCUCCCGCUAAUGCUAUGGAUCAUGUGACUCUCGUCCUUCGAUCCAAAAGCUCGAAUUCUGUUACGGUCAAGUGGAAUAUGUUUGCUUCCAUGAAACCCAAACUUCGAAAGUUGGGAUAGUUAUAUAAUAUUCAUGGAACUGAAAAUUAUUUUCAGAUACAAACAAAGCAAUGUUUGUUUGCAAGUAUUAGUAAAAGUGUUUACUAUGCAUUUGACUGUUGGGAAAGGGAUCCAGAAGAACGCCUGUCAUAUAAUGAAAGGUGAAUAAAACAACAACUUAAAGAGAAAGGAAGUGUCUAAAGGGUGUUAGUAUGACUUACACACCUAGGAAGUCCGGGGCUAACGCCACUCUUAACUUGGGUGCUUCUUUUGCGAGUAGGAGAAAUACUAAAAGUUAAACUGUUAGAAGUAUAAAGGCAGAAAGAAAGAUGACUGGAAUAUCCAGCUCAUGUAUGAAUGUCAUACAAGUUUUUGAUGUAUAGUAGGCUGGUCAAAGAUAUAGUUCUUGGGAAUUAUGGUUAAACAUGUUAAUCACUAAUUCUUGGGUAUUGUGAGUUAAUCACAAAGAUACCUGCUCGAUUGCAUUCUGUUGCGAAUCAAUGUAAGAGCUACUAUGGCCUAAAAAGACUAGCCAGAAAUGAGGUUAAGGUAUACACAGGGAACACAGUAAAUGUUACUAUACCUUCCAUCGGUGUAUUGCCGUCUGUAUUUAUUUUCAUAAUUCAUUUAGAGUUUUACAAACUCUAGCCCAUUGCAUAAGGUAUCUUGCAAUAAGGUUGUUCAUAAGAGAACUUUUUAUGUUCGAUGUUAUGAAUAACACAAGGGCCAUACUUUCAUUAUGAAUGAGAUGUAUGUUAUGAAUAUUGAUAAUAAUACAAUACCUCUGGGUUUACUUUCAUAAUUCAUUUUAGAGUGUCAUACACUCUAGCCCAUUGCACAAUGUUUGUUGCAAAAGAGUUGUUCAUAAAAACAACAAUUGUUGUUAAGUAUUAUGAAUAACAUGAAGGGCCAUGCUUCCAUCCAAGAUGGGAUGUAUGUUAUGAAUAUUGAUGGUAAUAUGAUACAUCCAUAACACUGACGCUAAAUGUUGCAAGACUAAAAGAAUACCACACAAGUGUGGCACUACAUUUGGUCACAUUGGAGAAACCCGCAUGGAAAAUUCCAUUAUGAUGGAUUUUGAAGUCUUUUUGAUUUUGAAUCAUCUGACACUUGCAACUUUCCUCCGAAAAGUGAAGUGACUAAAAUACCGUUCACAGGCCAAAAGGAACGAACAACAAACUUAUUAGUGAUCAUACAUUUGACGUGUGUAGUCCGAUAAGUGUUGUUAGUGGUGGAUUUAUUCAUCUUCAGAAAUGACUCAAGUAGAUAUAUGAAUAUUUACUUGAUGAGACGUAAGUCUGGAUCUUUUGAAAUCAUUCGAAAGGUUUUCAAAAAUGAAGUAGAAGUUAUUGUAACAAGAAAAUUAUGUUUCUGCAAUUUGAUUGCACAAAGGAAUAUUUGAGUUACAUGUUUAGCGAAUGUCUGAUGAGUUGUGAAAGGGGUUUCAUAACUUGCACCUCCUGGAACACCACUACAAGUGGAAAGUCCGUGGAGAUGUAAUCUAACCAUUUAUGACAUGGUAAGGUCAAAGAUGACAUAAAUAAAUUUGCCUUUAUCCCUUUUAAAGUGAUGCUUUAGAGACUGCGGCUUUUACACUGAAAAGAGCUACAUCGGGUCUGUUGAAAUGAAGCCAUGGUAUGGUACGCCCAACCAUGUUAUAUCUUUUCUUAACAUUUGGAAUGCGGGGCUUGUGUAAAAGGUUACAAACCUAUUCCAAAUCAGACAAGUGCUACUUUGUAGGUUAUACCAAAAUGUUGGGUAUUCCUCCCUCACUAUACCGAGGCAAAUAGUUUUGCCGCGAAACAGUGUGCUUUUAAAGAGAAUGGUUCUUUCAAAAAGGUGAGUGGGAGAAUAGUGCAACUCGACAAGAUAAACAGUAUCUUCAUCAUCAGAUCAAAGGAAAGAGACCUUGGAAGUAAUUCCAGGGUUUCCUACUGCGACUGAUACGGAAGUCUCUACAAUAAAAUGUAUGAAUUUCGGUCGAACUUGCAGCUGAACCACGUAGGCAAGGCUCGUAAACCUCUCAGGUGCGCAAACGAGAUAUUGUUGUUAGACAACAUUAUACCUACGAUACACAAGGAAGCAUUGAUGGGCCCUGAUUCCGGAAUUGGCUAAAUGCCAAUACAACCCGAGUUAGUUUCCAUAUAAGUGAUUCAAGAUUAAAACCUUGAUGCACCUUUCGGAAGACUUAGAGUCUAACGAAUAUUUAUGGAACUUAAAACUGAUACGGAUAAAAAUGUUUUAUCCAUAAAGCUCGACUUGUUGAAAUGACAAGUUCAAUUGUUGAAUACGAUGAGGUUGUUUUCAUCGUAGUGACGCUUAAAGUCGGUUCGGGUUGAACUAGCAAUUAAUACAUAUUUCAAUCAUGAGAACAUGGAUGACAAUAGGAUUUCCAUCUGAUGGAAAUGAAACCAAGGACUUGCAUGUGUUACAGUCCAAGGCAUUUUUUCUAUCCAGAGGAUGAGUAAGGGUGCAAACUUCAGAGUUCCAGCGAUGGACAGAAGAGAGCAAAAUGGAGUUGGAAUCUUCGUGCUUUGAUGAAAUGGUCAAAGGGGUUUGACUUCAUCAAUGGGUAACGAAGAUGCUUGUAAUUCAAGAAAGUAAGUGGGAGCAUAAUAAUAUUUCUAAAAAUCUUGUGUGCUUGACACAUUGUUAAUUGGAAAUAAAUUUCUUGACACGAAUUAGGACUUCAUUUGAAAAUAGUUUUUUGAUGAAGUUCUUAGGCUAAAUAGCCUCAAUAUUAGGCAUAAUGAUCUAUGGAGAUAGAUUUACCUAAUAGGGCUAAGCAAUGAAUACAUAUUGACAAGGUGCUAAAACCUUUUAGCAUUUAGAACCGCCAAGGAGUGAUUCUUGCCGGAGUCACAUGGAAGAGUUUUUUUUGCAAGACUCGGUGUCCCAAAACACUGAUGAGCAAAAUACAUGAUGCAGAUUCCACACACUUUUGUGUUUGGAUUAAUCAUGUAUUCCAUGGUAUGUAAAACAACCAGAUAUGUUCGAUACUCCCAAGGUGUUGCGAGUAUGGAUACUAAAGUGAUCAAAGUACUGAUCGUGGGACAACAGUGAAAGAUGUCAUUGAGUACUAGAGUAAGUACUGAUGAUAUGUUUUCUUGCAAGCGGAGAUCGUGAAGAGUUCGUUGUAAAAUGUUACAUCGAUACAGUCUUCAUCUUUUCUCCAUGCGAUUUUCGAUUUAAGUUAAGGGUUUUGUGUGAUACACAAUAUGGUGGCACUGUAGUUGGAAAUUGUUCCCAACAUGAUACUGUGGUGAAUUCUAUAACAAAUGACUAAGUAUGUUGACGCUUUAGAAGCGAUAAACAAGAUGUUGAAUCAUAUAGUUCAUUCAUGAACUAAGUAUGGUUCCAAGAUGGCUUUUGUCAAUGGGACACUACUGCAGGUAGUUUCUCCAUAACUCAGUCUGAGGAAUCCAGGUUCGACCUGUGAUUCACAUACAUAAAAAUAAAGUCCACACAAAAUAUGAAUUUUGUGAAAGCGUGAAAACGUGAGGAUAUGCAAAGAUACACACGGAGCUGAAGUCGUCAGAUCCGUUGGACAUCAGGCUAUGCCACAAGCGAAGCAUUUUCUACACCAGUAUGCCAUAGGUGUAAAGUGCAUUAGCAUUAACUAGAUAUUGACUCUAUAGUGCAAGUGGGAGUCUGUAGGAGAUAUGCCCUAGAGGCAAAAAUAAAUGUUAUUGAUUAUCUCCCUAUUCAUAAUUAGGUUUAUGUUCCAUGCUAUAACUGCAAUGAUUCUCGAGUCUGCAAAUAAAACGAGGCUUGGAGGGAAACUCAUGUGCACGUGUGGGAUAAUAAACGGUAAAAUGUAUUCCUAGUCAAGCCUCUAUGACUGGCUCAAGUAUUGCAUGAUGAUCCUGUUUUCCUGAUCAUGGGCAUGACUAUGCCGGCAAUUUUGAGGGCACAAUUAUUAGUAGAACACUUGUGCUGAAUCGACCCAAUUUGAUGUUAUGCUAUGAGAUACAUUCGUCACAAGUUAAUGGUUAAUAACACAGAGAAGUUAAUGUUUGCAUAAUUCCUUAGACCAUGAGAGUAUCGAGUUCCUUCAUACUUGCUUCGUGAACUUUGGGGUUUGUUAAACGUCAUCCGUAACCUGGUGAUUACGGCGGCUUACGGGUUCACGGAAAAGUAUGGCAAGUAACGAGAUAGCUCAAGAUUGGGAUUUGCUCCUCCAACGAUGGAGAGAUAUACUCAGGCCCUCUCGGUGUAGCGGUAUCCAUCAUCGUCUGGCCAGACACAUUGUGAUUUGAUCACUGGGAUGCCGGAACACGAAAACGAGAAAAGAGAACAAAACCGGUAACGAGGUAACUUGCAUGGUGGACAAAUUGUUGAUCCACAUGAAUGCAAUAAAUCUCACCUCGGGUGUUUUUGACAUAUCGCGAAGCAACAGGAAUAGCUCACGGCAACUGGAGGUUCACUCGAAUAUUCAUUCGUGUGGGUAGGGUCAAUAUGGGUGUCCACGGCUCCGACGUUGAUCAUUGAUCGGAAGAGGUUUCAGGUCAUGUCUAUACUUCACCGAACCUAUAGGGUCACACGCUUAAGGGUCAUCUAUCUGCCAAAUACUAGACAGGGAGUCCGAGAGAAAGUUUUCGGAAAAGGUUUUUCGGAGACAUCAGAAAAGUUCUGAAAAGAGAGGUCACCGGAUGAGUUCUGGUGAAACCGAAAAAGUUGUUUCGGGGUAUGCCAUUAAGUCAAAAUGGUUUCGGCACAUGCCUGAUAAUUCUUGGAGGGUGCCAGACUCAUUCUGGAAACUUUAUGGAAUUUUCAGAAAUAAAAACCGAAAAUGUUUCGGAGCUGCCGGUACCGCUUUGGUUGUUUUUCGCAGAUGAAAUUCACUAAUCUGAAAUUGUUUCAGAACGAAUCCAAAAUCAUUUUAGUGGGUACUGGAAUUAUUCUAAGACCCAUAGAAAUAUUUUCGGAUUUAAUGGACGCGAAAAAUUGUCUUCAUGAAUAGUGAAAACGCAUUCUUGUUUGCUUUUCGCAGAUGAAAAUCACUAAACCGAAAUUGUUUCGGAACGCGUUGAAAAUUAUUUUAGUGGGUACUGGAAAUGUUCUGAGCCCACAUAAAUAUUUUUAGUUCGAACGGACGCUGAAAAAUGUCGUCAUGAAUAGUGAAAGUGCUUUUUGCUUGGCUUCUUGGAGAAGCCACCUUGAGGGCCUUUUUGGUAUUUCCCUCCUUGGCUUCUUGGAGAGGCCACCCUUGGGCUUGGCCUAUAAAUAGGGGUGGAGGGGGGCUACCUAAAGGAUCAUCCCUUGCUCUCAUACACAUGCCAUGCAUUAUCUGGCUUCUUCUCUCCCUCCCACGAAAAGAGUUUCGUAGAGCCGUAAGGCUGUCUGGGUUCCGGCAGGAACUAGUUCUGGACGGCGAAGCCCUGCCGGAUAGAUGACACCGUAUGUGUGCAAUCCCGUAGAGAGGUCGUAGUUUCGAUCCUUUUGCCCGAGGGGCUGUUUUGAGAGUGCCUCCCGAAGGGCUGUCCAAGUGACGGUCCGAGUUCUGUGAAUCCUCCCGAAGGGCUGUCCGAGUGACCGUCCGAGUUUUGAGGGUCCUCCCGAAGGGCUGUCCGCGACACCAUCCGAGGGACUGUCCGACUGCCUCCCGGAGGGCUAUCCGUGGAGUGGAUGAGGAUAUACAUCCUCGCGGUUGGGAGGUUGUAUAUCCUAGCUGCGGGGAUCUGCACCGCCGUUCGUCAUCGACUCUACUUCCGCUGUGCUACGAGUCGGUAACGAAAAAGAUCAAACCAUGUAUGCAGUCUCCAUAGUGGUCCUGGGCUGGUGCGUAGGUCGGAAAUUUUUUGUUUUCUGCUGCGUUACCCUACAGUGGCAUCAAGAGCCGUGCUAUGCGUAGAUGCAGGUUUCGAUCUAGAAUACAUGGAGAUGUAUGGGUAUUGCAUAAUAUAAUUAGGUAGUAGAUGAGAUCUAUUGCUGAAAAUUAUUUAUGCGGGUGACAGAUGAAAUCUGUUACCCGACGUUCUUGUUGCUUCCCUAGAAUUUGCGUUUUCUCAAUCUUGAGACAGCAUGGUGGAAUUUGACAAAGUUCUGGCAAUCCGUGAUCCUGAUUGAUCAUGGAAGUGCUAUCAGUUCUUUGGGUUCUGCCGUAGUCAAAAGAAAGAUGAAAUUCGCUGAUGAAAGGGCAUUGCAGAUAUGAUCUGCACGGGGGUCAUGCGUAUGACGAAGUUUAGUAUGGGGCUCGAGAUUUAAUUAUCUCGUGUUUCAUACACCCCGAGAUGUUAAUCUAGCAACUUGAAUAAUCAUACUUGAUGAUAAAACGUUGGUAGCUGCGGUUUAAGUCAAAACCUUAGAAGCCACAUAAAAUAAAAUUUUGCGUAAAUCGAUUAGAGGCGUCUAACUUGGUUUUGCAGGAUGUGCAUGUGAUGUGGUAUACAAUGCUCAUAUUCAAUUUGAUUAUGUAUGAGAUGACUAUAUGAUGUAAUUAACAUGACCUGCGUGUCAUGAUUCGGCAUGAUGGAUGGGGCCAUAUGAUUGUCACUUUAAUGACCUGCGUGUCAACCUUAAGUAAUGCACUUAUUUUAUUGGCUAUAGAGAUAGCAAUAUUAUCUGGCGCAUCGACAAGGUGGUGGCAAUCUUCGCGAAGGUGAACACCGACGCGAAUGCCGAAGACGAAGAAAUGAAAGACUUCUCCGUCAAAAAGGGCUAUACCAUAUCAUGCUAUUAUGAAUUGCCUGAGAUGUUUAUCCCUUAUGAUGCACCCUUCUUGAUUGCGCGGUAG